rnacentral:rRNA from 1 species
AGCGAACGCUGGCGGCAGGCCUAACACAUGCAAGUCGAACGAACCUUUCGGGGUUAGUGGCGGACGGGUGAGUAACACGUGGGAACGUGCCUUUAGGUUCGGAAUAACUCAGGGAAACUUGUGCUAAUACCGAAUGUGCCCUUCGGGGGAAAGAUUUAUCGCCUUUAGAGCGGCCCGCGUCUGAUUAGCUAGUUGGUUGAGGUAAUGGCUCACCAAGGCGACGAUCAGUAGCUGGUCUGAGAGGAUGAUCAGCCACAUUGGGACUGAGACACGGCCCAAACUCCUACGGGAGGCAGCAGUGGGGAAUCUUGCGCAAUGGGCGAAAGCCUGACGCAGCCAUGCCUCGUGAAUGAUGAAGGUCUUAGGAUUGUAAAAUUCUUUCACCGGGGACGAUAAUGACGGUACCCGGAGAAGAAGCCCCGGCUAACUUCGUG